GACGAACGCUGGCGGCGUGCCUAAUACAUGCAAGUCGAGCGGACAGACGGGAGCUUGCUCCCUGAUGUUAGCGGCGGACGGGUGAGUAACACGUGGGUAACCUGCCUGUAAGACUGGGAUAACUCCGGGAAACCGGGGCUAAUACCGGAUGGUUGUCUGAACCGCAUGGUUCAGACAUAAAAGGUGGCUUCGGCUACCACUUACAGAUGGACCCGCGGCGCAUUAGCUAGUUGGUGAGGUAACGGCUCACCAAGGCAACGAUGCGUAGCCGACCUGAGAGGGUGAUCGGCCACCCUGGGACUGAGACACGGCCCAGACUCCUACGGGAGGCAGCAGUAGGGAAUCUUCCGCAAUAGACGAAAGUCUGACGGAGCAACGCCGCGUGAGUGAUGAAGGUUUUCGGAUCGUAAAGCUCUGUUGUUAGGGAAGAACAAGUGCCGUUCAAAUAGGGCGGCACCUUGACGGUACCUAACCAGAAAGCCACGGCUAACUACGUG
rnacentral:rRNA from 1 species